ACAUUUAGGAAAAGAGCAUAAUUUCAACAAGAUUUCCAAGGGGAAAAGCACCUUUUAUAAUGUCACUUACGAUUACGGUAGCGUAAUGCAUUAUUCAGCGUACGCGUUUGCCAACAACACCAAAAUAAAAACGAUUAUUACAAAAAAACCACCAAAUGCACAAAUCGGUCAGAGAAAAGGCCUUAGCAUCUCAGAUAUUAAAAAAAUCAAGGCAAUGUACAAUGCUAAUAUAUAAGCGUAAUUUAUAUCAAAGUAUUGAUGAGAAAAAUGGCUUUGAUAAUAGCUUUCUCUAUUAAAAAAAAUUUCUAAAUUAAAUAUUUUUAAUAAAAAUUUAUGCGAAGAAGUUAUGAAAAAGUAAAGAAUGUGGCACUGUGUAUAAAACACAUGACAUCUUCUUUUCGACGAUUUUGCGGUUGUAAUUAGCAUCAUUAAAUAUUAUAAUGAUUAAAUAUUAUAUAAUAUUAUAAAUGUACUUGUGCCUCUCGUGUACAAAUGUACAUAUUGUAAUAAACGUUUAAUAUUGCAUUAUAUA